AGAGUUUGAUCAUGGCUCAGAGCGAACGCUGGCGGCAGGCUUAACACAUGCAAGUCGAACGGGCACCUUCGGGUGUCAGUGGCAGACGGGUGAGUAACACGUGGGAACGUACCCUUCGGUUCGGAAUAACUCAGGGAAACUUGAGCUAAUACCGGAUACGCCCUUUUGGGGAAAGGUUUACUGCCGAAGGAUCGGCCCGCGUCUGAUUAGCUUGUUGGUGGGGUAACGGCCUACCAAGGCGACGAUCAGUAGCUGGUCUGAGAGGAUGAUCAGCCACACUGGGACUGAGACACGGCCCAGACUCCUACGGGAGGCAGCAGUGGGGAAUCUUGCGCAAUGGGCGAAAGCCUGACGCAGCGACGCCGCGUGCGGGAGGACGGCCUUCGGGUCGUAAACCGCUGUUGCCCGGGACGAAACGCUCUUUGGAGAGCAUUGACGGUACCGGGUGAGGAAGCACCGGCUAACUCCGUGCCAGCAGCCGCGGUAAUACGGAGGGUGCG
rnacentral:rRNA from 1 species